GACGAACGCUGGCGGCGUGCUUAACACAUGCAAGUCGAACGGAAAGGCCCUGCUUUUGUGGGGUGCUCGAGUGGCGAACGGGUGAGUAACACGUGAGUAACAUGCCCUUGACUUUGGGAUAACUUCAGGAAACUGGGGCUAAUACCGGAUAGGAGCUCCUGCUGCAUGGUGGGGGUUGGAAAGUUUCGGCGGUUGGGGAUGGACUCGCGGCUUAUCAGCUUGUUGGUGGGGUAGUGGCUUACCAAGGCUUUGACGGGUAGCCGGCCUGAGAGGGUGACCGGCCACAUUGGGACUGAGAUACGGCCCAGACUCCUACGGGAGGCAGCAGUGGGGAAUAUUGCACAAUGGGCGGAAGCCUGAUGCAGCAACGCCGCGUGCGGGAUGACGGCCUUCGGGUUGUGAACCGCUUUCGCCUGUGACGAAGCGUGAGUGACGGUAAUGGGUAAAGAAGCACCGGCUAACUACGUG
rnacentral:rRNA from 1 species